GAUGAACGCUGGCGGCGUGCUUAACACAUGCAAGUCGAACGAUGAAGCCCAGCUUGCUGGGUGGAUUAGUGGCGAACGGGUGAGUAACACGUGAGUAACCUGCCCUUAACUCUGGGAUAAGCCUGGGAAACUGGGUCUAAUACCGGAUAGGAGCGUCCACCGCAUGGUGGGUGUUGGAAAGAUUUAUCGGUUUUGGAUGGACUCGCGGCCUAUCAGCUUGUUGGUGAGGUAAUGGCUCACCAAGGCGACGACGGGUAGCCGGCCUGAGAGGGUGACCGGCCACACUGGGACUGAGACACGGCCCAGACUCCUACGGGAGGCAGCAGUGGGGAAUAUUGCCCAAUGGGCGCAAGCCUGAUGCAGCGACGCCGCGUGAGGGAUGCCGGCCUUCGGGUUGUAAACCUCUUUCAGUAGGGAAGAAGCGAAAGUGACGGUACCUGCAGAAGAAGCACCGGCUAACUACGUG
rnacentral:rRNA from 1 species